UUUUCUUUUGUCGUUAAAAAAUCGCCGUCGGGCUGAUUGUUUUGAAGAGUGUGCUAAUUAAUUAAUGUCUAUAUGGACCUCUCUGCUUCGUUAAAAGUAUGGACUUUGUAAUUCCCCAUUUACCAAUUUCCCUUCUUUUUCACAUUUUCAUGAACUAUCAUUCCCCAAAAAUGCUCCUCGCCCUUUCUUCAACUUCCACCUCUACGUAACACGAAAAUCGUGGCCAUUAAUCUGAGUCCGUCCAUGGUUUUGGCUUAUUAGCUUUUUCUUCCUCUUCCAGCAUCCAACCCACUCAACAGUUGUCUUUGUCAGGCAAAGGAUUCUGUAUCGGUUCCUGCUAUUGUUUAGUCAUUACCACCAUGUGCUUCUCCGUCUUUUGGCGCCUAACUGCAUCAUUUUUGUGAACAACAAAGUUCUCGAUUCUCAGGUGCAGGGUUUUGAUGGAUGAUAAAGAGAGAGGUCUUAAGGGCGGCGAAGUAAGAAUGGCUGAGAAGAGAACCGCCGAUAGAGGAGAAGUGCUAAUAACAAUAUCGAGUGAUGAAGUUGCAAAUGUCAAUAAAGGGUCUACCAUUGCUCAUAGGCAGAGCAGGCCUAAUUCACCCAUGAAAGAAUCAAAUGCUGGUGGAUUUACAAAAUCUGUGUCUAUGAGCUACCCUUCACCAGAGAUCUCACGGUUUAGCCCAAGCCCCAACAAGCCCCCCAAAAUCCCUACCAACAACGAAAAUCUUACUAGAAGAAGGUCGCUCACGAGGUCAGUGUACUCAAAACCCAAGUCAAGAUUUGGAGAACAGCCAUAUCCUGUUGAUUCUGAUGCGUUUGAAGAGGAUAAUUUAACUCUCCAAGAACAAAUCGCCAGGAAUUCUCCCUAUAACAAUUCACUUAAUAGGGGGUCACCUAAUAACAAGUCUGCUUCUACUGCUAGGACAAAUUCCAUAAAUCCAAAAACGCCCCUGAUGGCAUCUCCAGGACAUGCAGAUGAUGAAGAAGAUGAGGUGGAGGAAGUUAUCAAGAAGGUUGAAUCGAGUCAAGAGAAGCAUAGUAGAGUGAGGGCCAAGCCUGUGAUUCAGUGGGUUGCAUUUAUUUGCAUUAUAGGAUGCUUAGUGGCAAGCUUGACUGUUGGGAAACUCGAAAAGACUAUGAUUUGGGGCUUGGAGUUUUGGAAGUGGUGUGUGCUUGUGAUGGUGAAGGUUUACAAGGGUCGGAAAGCUCUUGCGCAUGCAUUAGGUGACACCAAAACAGCUGUCAAGCAAUUGAACAAACUGGUGACAGUGAUCCUGGUUAUUGUGACCAUUGUCAUUUGGCUUCUCUUGAUGGAAAUUGCAACAACGAAAGUGCUUGUUGUCCUCUCAUCACAGCUAGUAGUGGUGGCGUUUAUGUUUGGGAAUACUUGCAAGACCAUAUUUGAAGCUAUAAUAUUUGUUUUUGUGAUGCAUCCAUUUGAUGUUGGUGAUCGUUGUGUUAUUGACGGUGUGCCAUUGUUGGUCGAGGAAAUGAACAUCUUAACGACAGUUUUCUUGAAGCUUGAUAAUGAAAAGAUAUACUAUCCAAAUUCUGUUUUGGCUACAAAGCCAAUCAGCAACUAUUACAGAAGCCCUAACAUGGGUGAUGCUGUGGAGUUCUCAAUAGAUUUUGCUACUCCAGUGGAGAAGAUUGCAUUGUUGAAAGAUAAAAUUAAGAAGUGCUUAGAGAAGAAUCCCCAACACUGGCAUCCUAACCACAGCGUUGUGGUGAAGGAAAUUGAGAAUGUAAACAAGUUAAAAAUGGCUCUCUAUUGUAAUCACACAAUGAACUUCCAAGAAUUUGGAGAGAAAAACAAGCGGCGGACUGAACUGGUCAUUGAGAUAAAGAAGAUUUUCGAAGAGUUAAAUAUAAAAUACUACCUUCUGCCCCAACAAGUUCAUCUCAGCCAUAUCGGGUCGGAAACUCGGAAUCUCCAGUUGUGACAAACAGAUUGUUGCUCAAUGCUCCUGGAUAAUUUGCAAGUAAUCAAGUCAUUGAUGCAAAGGAGAGAUGGUGCAACGAGUGCUACUUACCUAUUCUAUGCCAGAACACCAGUCAACAAAUCCAAGCAUUCAAUUUGUCACUUGGAGGAUAGAAUGUAUUCUGUUAAGAUGUUUAAAUAGGGAUGAAUGUUUUAUUUUGACUCUCUUUUUCCUGUUGUGAAAUUAGCUCCCUGGCUUUGUUUUUUUUUUUUUGACACUCGGUUGCUUGGGUUAAAGUUUUGAAGGCGCUACUCUAAAGCUAACAGGGAAACAUGGUUAUGUUUACUUUGUGUUUAAUGGAUAUUUUUCUUUGAAUUAUGCCAGAGUAGGAGUUGAGCUGUUACAUCACAAAUUAAUGCG
rnacentral:misc_RNA from 1 species